GCUGGGAUAGUUCCGUCGAUAGAGCUUGAGACUCUUAAUCUUAGGUUUGUGAGUUCAAGCCCCACGUUGCA